rnacentral:rRNA from 1 species
GUGGGGAAUCUUCCGCAAUGGACGAAAGUCUGACGGAGCAACGCCGCGUGAGUGAUGAAGGUCUUCGGAUUGUAAAGCUCUGUUAAUCGGGACGAAAGAGCCUAGUGUGAAUAAUGCUAGGAAGUGACGGUACCGGAAUAGAAAGCCACGGCUAACUACGUGCCAGCAGCCGCGGUAAUACGUAGGUGGCAAGCGUUGUCCGGAAUUAUUGGGCGUAAAGCGCGCGCAGGCGGAUCUGCCAGUCUGUCUUAAAAGUUCGGGGCUUAACCCCGUGAUGGGAUGGAAACUACAGAUCUAGAGUAUCGGAGAGGAAAGUGGAAUUCCUAGUGUAGCGGUGAAAUGCGUAGAUAUUAGGAAGAACACCAGUGGCGAAGGCGACUUUUUGGACGAAAACUGACGCUGAGGCGCGAAAGCCAGGGGAGCGAACGGGAUUAGAAACCCCGGUAGUCC